UACGUAGGGUCCGAGCGUUGUCCGGAAUUAUUGGGCGUAAAGAGCUCGUAGGCGGUUUGUCGCGUCUGCUGUGAAAACUGGGGGCUCAACUCCCAGCCUGCAGUGGGUACGGGCAGACUAGAGUGCGGUAGGGGAGAUUGGAAUUCCUGGUGUAGCGGUGAAAUGCGCAGAUAUCAGGAGGAACACCGAUGGCGAAGGCAGGUCUCUGGGCAUUAACUGACGCUGAGGAGCGAAAGCAUGGGGAGCGAACAGG
rnacentral:rRNA from 1 species